rnacentral:rRNA from 1 species
GACGGAGGGUGCAAGCGUUGCUCGGAGUCACUGGGCGUAAAGGGUGCGUAGGCGGUCUCUCAAGUCUGGCGUGAAAGCCCAGGGCUCAGCCCCGGAAGUGCGCUAGAAACUGCCGAGCUUGAGUACCGGAGAGGGUGGCGGAAUUCCCGGUGUAGAGGUGAAAUUCGUAGAUAUCGGGAGGAACACCAGUGGCGAAGGCGGCCACCUGGACCGGUAUUGACGCUGAGGAGCGAAAGCCAGGGGAGCAAACGGG